UACGAGGGGGCAAGCGUUGUUCGGAAUUACUGGGCGUAAAGGGCGCGUAGGCGGCCUGUUAAGUCGGACGUGAAAUCCCCGGGCUCAACCCGGGAACUGCGUCCGAUACUGGCAGGCUUGAAUCCGGGAGAGGGAUGUGGAAUUCCAGGUGUAGCGGUGAAAUGCGUAGAUAUCUGGAGGAACACCGGUGGCGAAGGCGGCAUCCUGGACCGGCAUUGACGCUGAGGCGCGAAAGCCAGGGGAGCAAACGGG
rnacentral:rRNA from 1 species